AGAGUUUGAUCCUGGCUCAGAACGAACGCUAGCGGCGCGUUUCAGGCAUGCAAGUUGAACGGUAACAGUAGUGAUUUAUCACUAGCUGACGAGUGGCGCACGGGUGAGUAACGCGUAGGUAAACUACCAUAGGGACCUGGAUAGCCCUACGAAAGUAGGAUUAAUACGGGAUGUGCUUAUAUUUUCAUAAGAUUUUAUAAGUAAAUAGUUUUUCUGCUCUAUGAUGUGCCUGCGUUAGAUUAGUUUGUUGGUGGGGUAAUGGCCUACCAAGGCUGCGAUCUAUAGCCGGGCUGAGAGGCUGACCGGCCACAUUGGGACUGAGACACGGCCCAGACUCCUACGGGAGGCAGCAGCUAAGAAUCUUCCGCAAUAGUCGAUAGACUGACGGAGCGACGCCGCGUGAGUGAUGAAGGCCUUUUAGGUUGUAAAACUCUUUUAUAUUGGAAGAAUAUAUAGUAUUAGACUAUAUUGACUGUACUUUAUGAAUAAGGUCCGGCUAACUACGUGCCAGCAGCCGCGGUAAUACGUAGGGACCGAGCGUUGUUCGGAAUUAUUGGGCGUAAAGGGUAUGUAGGCGGUCUAUUAAGUUAGAUGUGAAAAAUCUGGGCUCAACCGAGAUCUUGCGUCUAAUACUGAUAGGCUAGAGUCUCUGAGAGGAAGGCGGAAUUCCUGGUGUAGGGGUGAAAUCUAUAGAUAUCAGGAAGAACACCGGUUGCGAAGGCGGCCUUCUGGCAGAGGACUGACGCUGAGGUACGAAAGUUAGGGUAGCAAACAGGAUUAGAGACCCUGGUAGUCCUAACCGUAAACGUUGUAUACUAGGUGGUUGAAGUAUUGAUCCUUUGACUGCCGCAGCAAACGCAUUAAGUAUACCGCCUGGGGAGUAUGCCGGCAACGGUGAAACUCAAAGGAAUUGACGGGGCCCCGCACAAGCAGUGGAGCAUGUUGCUUAAUUCGAUGAUACGCGGGUAACCUUACCAGGUCUUGACAUAUACCUGUCUGGUGUAGAAAUACAUCAUUGCUUCGGCACGGGUAUACAGGUGCUGCAUGGUUGUCGUCAGCUCGUGCCGUGAGGUGUUGGGUUAAGUCCCGCAACGAGCGCAACCCUUAUUCUUUGUUGCUAACAGGUUAAGCUGAGCACUCUAAGGAGACUGCCGGUGACAAACCGGAGGAAGGUGGGGACGACGUCAAAUCAUCACGGCCCUUAUGACCUGGGCUGCAAACGUGCUACAAUGGGUGGUACAAAGAGUUGCGAGACCGCGAGGUGGAGCUAAUCUCAAAAAACUAUCCUCAGUUCGGAUUGGAGUCUGAAACCCGACUCUAUGAAGUUGGAAUUGCUAGUAAUCGCACAUCAUCAUGGUGCGGUGAAUACGUUCCCGGGGCUUGUACACACCGCCCGUCACAUCACCCGAGUUGAAUAUACCCGAAGUACCUGAGCUAACGGUUUACCGGGGCAAGGUCCUAAGGUAUGCUUGGCAAGGGGGAUGAAGUCGUAACAAGG
rnacentral:rRNA from 1 species